UCUAAAUGAGAGGGAGGGGAAAAUGUAUCUAUUUUAGACUGAUAUACAGUAUAUAUAUACAGCAUGCACAUCCUCUCCUCAUCAGUGAGCAGCACAUCACGGUCAGAAAACUUGUCAGAGAUUAACAGAAAAUUAUAACCAAAUCAUCAUCAAUGACUGAAUUCAGGAUUGUUCUGGUGGGUAAAACUGGAUCAGGAAAGAGUUCAUCAGGAAACACUAUACUGGGCAGAGAUGCGUUUGAAGUGGCUCAAUUUCCUGUGUCUUUAACAGAAAAAUGUAGUGUGGGUCAAGUAGACAGAAUCUCAUUGAUCGACACUCCUGGACUCUUUCACACGUCCAUGACUGAAAAACACGUCAAAGCUGAGACUGAGAAGAGUCUGAAGAUGUCUGCUCCCGGUCCCCAUGUGUUUCUGAUGGUGAUCAAACUCGGGAGAUUCACCGAUGAGGAGAAGAAAACAGUGAAAUGGAUUCAGGAGAACUUUGGAGAAGAUGCUAAGAGAUUCACCAUUCUGUUGUUCACUGGAGCUGAUCAAUUAAACAAACCGUUAGAUGAUUUUCUACUGGAAAACCCAGAGCUGAAGACAUUAGUGGAUGAAUGCGAGGGAAGAUAUCAUGCUUUCAAUAAUGUGGAGAAGAAUCAAGAUCAGGGCAUUAAACUGCUGGAGAAGAUCAACACAAUCGUAGAGGAAAAUAGAGGAGAAUACUACACCAUUGAGAUGUUCAAGAAGACUCAGAGAAAGAUAUUCAAGAGAGAAACACAGAUAAUACUACUUGCUGUUGUUGCUGUAACAACAUGUUUUGCUUAUGGAUUAUAUCAAACAAGAGCAUUUUGGUGUGCCUUGCAUUUACAUUCGUAUUUCAAAAGCAUUUACUGUGUGCGAAAAAUGGAAAAAUGAAAUGAAAUUACGAGUAAAUGAAAAUAAAAGUAACUAUAAUAAUGUCACAAUCUCACACGGGGGAGCACGGGAACCAGGAACGAGGAGACGAGGAAUUAGCAACACGGGAGUUUAAUAAACACAAUAGGGAAACAGAUCACAGGCAGGGUUGACACUCAGGUUGACACUCACGUUGACGUUCAAAGACCGACAAACACUAACUGAAAGGACUGGGGUUUUAAAGACAGGACAAUCAAGGAACUAAAGGAGACACACCUGGAAUCAAAUUAACCAAUCAAGGGGAGACAGAAACUAGGUCACAGGGCACACAUGGGGAGCAAAACACACACAAGACAGUCCAGGGACGUGACAAAUAACAUGAUAAGAAAGAGCAUUAUUAUUGUGUAGAAAACACAGUCAGACACUGUGCUGCUGUAACGCAGUACUCCGCACAUUCCUCUAGAAAGACGGGCAGCUUUUCCAUGUUUGGCAGAGACUCAGGUUUGUGAUGUAUGUUAUAUUUUGUGUUAAAACAUUCUCAGAAUUUGUUUGUCCAUUAUUAGAGAAAGUGCAGCUCUAUCUGAGUUUAGUUUUGAUCACAUUGGCUACAUUUACAUGCAACCAAAUGAUCAGUUUGUAAUCAGAUUGAAGGGGGAAGAUGUUUUCUCUGUUUUGGAGGGAUGAUCAUUUUUAAAUCAUACCCUAUUUAUUGCAUCAAAAUUUAUUAAUACUUUACUAUAUUGAAGGCUGGAUAAUUUUAUCAGUUGUUUAUUAUUCAUGCAACAAUACAUAACUACAAUAACUUUGUCUAGUACUCUUAUCAAUGUUUAUAGCAUGAUUUGUGAAAAUUUAACUAUACUGAAUGACGUAGCUUUCUUCAUGGCUAGUUUUUGCUUAUUUCAUUUCAUUCUGUACCCUACUUGUUCUACAGAUCUGUGUGUACUAGCGUUAAAUGCUACUGUUUUUGACAGCAUUGAUAACGUUUCUGACAGAUAAUAUCAUGAUCAUUUUUGCGCUUCCCUUACCGAAUGUGCUAUCCUGUCAGCAAUAACCUGUCCAUGGGCUUUUUUAUUGCUGUCAGUUUAAGUGCCGGCGAUGCACUGUAGAUAUUGCUACUAAAACAAACAAAAAGCUAAAAAUAAACUGAAAUUAUUUCCAGUCUUUUGCAAAUAAGAUAAGAUAAAGAUAUCUCUGAUUCUAAACUACAACUUCCGACUUUAUCAACUUUCUAAAGUGUUAAAUUAAGUGGAAAAGACAAGUCUAAAAACACUUAUAAUAACUGGAUCUGGCACAGAGGCUGUGCACGUGCCCUCACACACAACUCUCUGAAGACUCGUUCACUCUGCUAGCGUCUCGCAGCGAUCAUUUUCACACCGGGGACGCUAAAUAUUCUUGCAAACUGUCUAAACUGAAUUAUACAUGUCAUGCUAUUAUUAUACAUGAAUUAUACAUGACAUUCAUACGAGGAGUUUAACAGCAAUUAGUCAUUCAGAGAACAAAUUAUUUAUUUUUGAACAUGAAAAAAUUUACCGAGGUCCGGACAUCGGUGGCCUCAUAGCUGGCUACGGGCCUGCCUCCCACCACUCCUUGAUUCAGAUUCUCAUCCACACAUGACUGGUUUUGGGCUCGGGGAGGGGCAUUUUUACUGCGUGAUAAAUAUGAGCAGCAUGGGCACAGUGGUUUAUAUAUAUUUAUCCAGAAAUGGAUAAAUAUUAAUUCUGCUGUUAAAAACAAAUAAAGAAACAGUGUAGGAGAGUGGUUAUUAUGUGCAAACAGUGAGAAACUCUAUAUUUGCGCAUUGUGUGCAUGUAAAAAAAAAUCUAUUCCGAUUUGAAGCUUGUGACAUAUAAACGCACACAUCAACCCAAUCACUUUAUUUAGUAAUCAUGUAAACACUACAUUGAGAUUCAUCAAUCGGAAUGAAUUCAGUCCGACUGAACCAAAAAUUGUGCAUGUAAACACAGCCAGUGUGGACACAACCUCUCUUCCUGUGGAUGCCAUGUUUUCCUGUGUUUGCCUGUUUCUGUAAUCAGGUUGUGCCAAUAAAGUAAUGAUAUGCUGUGGUUUUGUCCACUGUAGGUAGUAAACGGUGGCUCUCCUAUUUAAGGAAAAUGCAGCAGAAACAGCUUUUCAAAUCUUCAUUGCACAGUUGCAUAGUUCAAUAAAAUAGUAAACAUUCAAUUAAUUUGGAAAGUUGUCUGUCAAAUGCCAAUGUCAGCAAUUAAUUUAAAUUUAAAUAAAUUGUUAAAAAUAUGAUUUUUUUUUAAAUUCCAGAACAAAUGAAUAAAUAUCCAUUGUAUUUUAUUUUAGCAUUAUUUUGUAUGCGUUUUUCAUUUUUAGAAUGAUUUUUGGGUCACUCAACAAUAGUAGGUGUCAUCUUUUAGAGAAAUAGUGCAACAGAAAAUAUCUUUAUAAGCAGACAUGGAGAUCCAGAAUAGUUUUUUUUAAUUAUUAGGAUAUACUUAUCCUUCUUUCUAAAUCAUUAAAAAAAAAAAAAACAUUUGAUUUACUCUUGGGGGGAAAAAAACAUCAAGUUUUUAUCCUUUAAUUAACAAAAUGUGUUUUCUUAUGAUAGAGAAGAGAAACCAUAUCGGAAGAGCAGCAUGGAACAAUAUCCUCCAAAGCCAGAAGUGAACAUGAUGCUGUUGGGAAUGACUGGAUCAGGAAAGAGUGCAUCAGGAAACACCAUCAUAGGUGGACAUAAAAAACCAUUCAAAGAAGAUUUUUCUCCUUCAUCUGUGACCAAAGUCUGUACAACAGAAAUUGCAGAGGUAAACGGACAAACGAUCACUGUGAUCGACACUGUAGGACUCUCUGAUACAGAUGUGGAGAUUACAGAUGCUCAAACUGAAAUAGAGAAGAAAUUACAGCGUACAAAUCUUGAUGCGUUUCUGCUGGUGAUCAAACUGGUUGAGCCUUUCACAAACGAGAAAAGAAAAGCAGUGAAAUGGAUCCAGGAGAAUUUUGGAGCAAACGUCUUAAAACACACAAUAGUGCUCUUUACUCAUGGAGAUGCAUUAAGAGAGCAAAUAGAGAUAUAUGUGAGUAGAUCUCAGUCACUGCGGUCAGUAGUUGAGCAGUCUUCAGGAGGUUAUCAUGUGUUUAAUAACACAGAUGAAGAUCAAUCUCAGGUCACUGAGCUUCUGAAAAAGAGUGAGUCACUGAGGAUGAAGAAUAAAUACAGCAGAUACACUGAGCAGGACUAUGCAGAGGCUCAGAAAGCCCUUCUACGCAAAAAAUGUGCUACAGGAGCUGCAGUAGGAGGAGGAGUAGGAGCAGUAGUAGGUGGAGGAGCAGCAGCAGGAACAGCAGCAGCAGGAGGAGCAGCAGUAGCAGCUGAGAUUGGAGUCGCAGCACUAAUAGGAGCAACAGGAGGUGCAGCUCUGCUAGCAAUGGGAGUUGCUACAGGAGUGUAUUUUUUGGCAAGAAAAUAUAAAAAAGAUAAUCGUGACUGAAAGGCUCUAAGCAUCAUUACAAAUAUAUAUAUAUAUAUAUAUAUAUAAUGGGUAAAACAAACAUAUUUGAAAUAAGCAUUCCCUGCCAUUGUCACAAAUCUCACCUCUGUGAUUUCUCGCUCUCUUGAGAUUUCCUAUAGACCAUUUCAAGGAAGUAAACAAUAACAAACGUGUCGAAAUCUCAAGUACAACACAUAAUUUUUAAAUCCAGUGAAAACAGAACAGUUAAUGUAUUUACAAAAAAUGAAAAUAAAGUCUGUAGAAUUACCAUACAUACCGAAUCAAGAAUUUGAGAUGCAAGAUUUUCACACGCAACAUUAAAUGUUUGCCUGAAAUAUCUUAUCCAGACCAGAGUACAGAUCUGGCCAUUCAAAAUGCGUCCAAAUAAGAACGUUCUUUUUUAAUGACCUAAAAUUAACGCUCCCAGAACAUUCCCUGCAGGUUAUUUUUAGUUGUCAUAACCAUGUGAACUAAUUAAAACUUUGCACAUUUUUCUGAUUAUUCUAAUGCUAAAAUGUGUUUUAUUUUUGCAGAAUUUCAUGUCUGAAAUAAACUUUUAAUAAAGUGUAGACAUCAGUAGUCAAAUCGCAUUAUAAUGAUAAUAUAAUUAAAAUUUUAUAGCUGAAAUUAAGCCGAGGUUAUGCAUAGUCUGCAAAGCAUACCAUAAACACUGGGUUUGUUUGUAUGUUUCUUUACAGCGCUUUUCUUAUAUGUGCCAUAUAACUCGGAUUAAUUAAUUUAAAGAUUAACGGUCAUUUUGUUUUACUUACUGACUAACACUCGUUUGUUGAUCUCUUUAUUGAAUAAUUACUUAUAAUUAAUAAACAUUCGAGAGUAAAUACUGUGAUUUCAGAGAGAUUUGACAAGUAAUUGAAGAGAACAUGAUAUUAACGGAGAAGUUUUUGUUGGUUACGGACCAAAAGAGAGAAGCACAUCAUCGUUAAUUUCAGUGGUAAGAAAUGAAUGUAAUAUUAAAGUCAAAUAAAUGUUAUUCAUUUGUAAUGUCUGUAAAAAUAAAAUUCACAUUUUUAAAACCCAAUAUUUUGUUGAAAUCAUUGUAAUUUGGUGCUUAAGAAAUAUAAAUAACUGGGGUAUCAUAUGGUACAUGGUAGUUUUAAUAAAGAAAUCUUCCAUAUUAACAGAUAAUUCAAUCUCAUGUAAUGCUCCUUAUGAUGGUUAAAUGUGCUCUGAUCAUCUUUAAUGAUUAAACAAUUUUCUGAAACAAGACAUGGUUUGUAGUACUGAUUAUUGAGGUCCAUAUCUGUCCAUCUUCCAUGCCGCUUAUACUCUACUCGGGACGGGAGUGCUGGAUGAUUACUGACAGCAGCGGUAUCAGAGUAAAGAGGUUAGGAGAAUGUUCUGGGAACCUUCUAGGAACAUAAAUAGAACAUUUCCUUUAGGUUAGGAGAACUUUCUGGGA